GUGGGGAAUUUUGGACAAUGGGCGCAAGCCUGAUCCAGCAAUGCCGCGUGCAGGAAGAAGGCCUUCGGGUUGUAAACUGCUUUUGUACGGAACGAAACGGUCCGGGUUAAUACCCUGGGCUAAUGACGGUACCGUAAGAAUAAGCACCGGCUAACUACGUGCCAGCAGCCGCGGUAAUACGUAGGGUGCAAGCGUUAAUCGGAAUUACUGGGCGUAAAGCGUGCGCAGGCGGUUUUGUAAGACAGGCGUGAAAUCCCCGGGCUCAACCUGGGAACUGCCUUUGUGACUGCAAGGCUAGAGUACGGCAGAGGGGGAUGGAAUUCCGCGUGUAGCAGUGAAAUGCGUAGUUAUGCGGAGGAACACCGAUGGCGAAGGCAAUCCCCUGGGCCUGUACUGACGCUCAUGCACGAAAGCGUGGGGAGCAAACAGGAUUAGAUACCCGAGUAGUCC
rnacentral:rRNA from 1 species